rnacentral:rRNA from 1 species
AGAACGAACGCUGGCGGCGUGCCUAACACAUGCAAGUCGAGCGAGAGAGUAGCAAUACUUAAAAGCGGCGAACGGGUGAGUAACACGUAGAUAAUCUACCUUCUAAUGGGGGAUAACUACUCGAAAGGGUAGCUAAUACCGCAUGUGAAGACAGGUCGCUGGAUCUGUCUUGAAAGGGGGCUCUCGCAAGAGGCUUUCGUUAGAAGAUGAGUCUGCGUCCCAUUAGCUAGUUGGUAGGGUAAUGGCCUACCAAGGCUACGAUGGGUAGCUGGUCUGAGAGGACGACCAGCCACACUGGAACUGACACACGGUCCAGACUCCUACGGGAGGCAGCAGUGGGGAAUAUUGCGCAAUGGGGGAAACCCUGACGCAGCGACGCCGCGUGGGUGAUGAAGGCCUUCGGGUUGUAAAGCUCUGUCGGCUGGGAAAAAGGUGUUUGUGCUAAUACCACGAACGCUUGAUGGUACCAGCAAAGGAAGCACCGGCUAACUCUGUGCCAGCGGCCGCGGUAAUACAGAGGGUGCAAGCGUUGUUCGGAAUUACUGGGCGUAAAGGGCGUGUAGGCGGCUUAGCAAGUCAGAUGUGAAAUCCCGGGGCUUAACUUCGGAAGUGCAUUUGAAACUGCUAGGCUAGAGUGAAGUAGAGGUUGGUGGAAUUCCCAGUGUAGAGGUGAAAUUCGUAGAUAUUGGGAGGAACACCGGUGGCGAAGGCGGCCAACUGGGCUUUAACUGACGCUGAGGCGCGAAAGCGUGGGGAGCAAACAGGAUUAGAUACCCUGGUAGUCCACGCUGUAAACAAUGGAUACUCGAUGUGGCUGGUAUUGACCCCGGUCGUGUCUAAGUUAACACGAUAAGUAUCC